AAGUCGUAACAAGGUUUCCGUAGGUAGCAACCUGGCAGGGAAUGGAUUCAUUUACAUUUCAGUAGCCUAGCUGCUAUCAGGUUGGGGUUUCCGUUAGCCUGCAUUAAGCUUAAUCGCUGAUGAGCAGCAGCCACCCCCGUUGUUUGUACCCCUUUGUUUUUUUGCGUACCAAAGUUUCCCUCGGCGGGCUUGCUCGCCGGAUGGACAAUACUAUAACCUUUUUAAUAUUCAAUCAGCGUCCGAAAGACUUUAAUCAUUACAA
rnacentral:misc_RNA from 1 species